rnacentral:rRNA from 1 species
GCCAGUGGUGAUAGCACAUUGAAUGCUAUCGCCACUGGCUGGAAUGCUUUUGCCAAUGCACAGAAGUUCCUAAUUGAUCACUGAAGUUAAGCAAAGUUGCAUGUGGUCGGUAUCCAGAUGGGUGACCAUCUGGGGAAUUGUAUGGUGCUGGAU